CGCUGUGGCCACGGUGGUUCGCGGGGACGGAGGGUAAGACGGCCCGCCCUCCCCCACGGCUUCCUUCGCCUGCCUGCGAGGGCGAUUCCAGCACCAGCCUGGACCACCGGCCCAGGACCCUGGAUCCACUUGGGCGCUUUCGUGGCCUUGAAGACCAGUGCUUCGCUCAGGCUUCCCUGCCUGGGUUUCCGUGAUGCGAAUCUGAUUCCUUCGGGGCGGCGGGGCCAGGCCUGCGCUCCCCGCCGCGGUCCUCGCGCGAGGGCCGUGCCCGCCGCUCCACCCCCGGGGCCCUCCGCCACGGGGGACGAUGAAAAUCCCAGCACUUACUCUCUGAUUUUCCCGCUAGUGUGUAGGGAAGGGCCCGCGUAAGCCCCUAGAAAGUUCUAGAACAGGUCGUCUGGGGGCAGAAACCAGAUACUUGAAAGAGUGAAGAUACCAGGGUGCUUUAGUGAUGGGCUGUUGUCAUUUUGAGAAGAAAAAAGGAAUUUGGGGAGAUCCUACUAAGAUAACUUGUGGUAAAAUGGAGAUGGAGUUAGAAAACUUGUGAUUAAUGGAUGAAGUGGGUAUGAGGUUGCAGUCGUCCUAGUCCAGAUGUGGUUCUCGGAAGAAGUUAUUUAUAGAGUAAUUAUGCUAAUACUGAGUAAGACAGCAGGAGUCUUUUCUAAACCAGCAAGAAGGAAAACUUAUGAAUUUUUAAGAAUUUUUAAUUUUCAUUCUGGAAAACCGUUUCUUCAUAAACUAGUGUUGGGAAUCGAAACCAGUUGUGAUGAUACAGCAGCUGCUGUGGUGGAUGAAACUGGAAACGUUUUGGGAGAAGCGAUACAUUCCCAAACUGAAGUUCAUUUAAAAACAGGUGGGAUUGUUCCUUCAGUAGCUCAGCAGCUUCACAGAGAAAAUAUUCAGCGGAUAGUGCAAGAAGCUCUCUCUUCCAGUAAAGUCUGUCCAAGUGAACUCUCAGCGGUCGCAACCACUAUAAAACCAGGACUUGCUCUAAGCUUGGGAGUAGGCUUAUCAUUUAGCUUACACCUAGUAGACCAGUUAAAAAAACCUUUCAUUCCCAUUCAUCAUAUGGAGGCUCAUGCACUGACUAUUAGGUUGUUAAAUAAAGUAGACUUUCCCUUCUUAGUUCUUUUGAUUUCUGGAGGUCAUUGUCUGUUGGCAUUAGUCAGAGGAGUUUCAGAUUUUCUGCUUCUGGGGAAGUCUUUGGACAUAGCACCAGGGGACAUGCUUGACAAGGUAGCAAGAAGACUGUCUUUGAUUAAACAUCCAGAGUGCUCCACCAUGAGCGGUGGGAAGGCUAUAGAACAUUUGGCCAAACAAGGAAAUAAACUGCAUUUUGAUAUCAAACCUCCCAUGCAACGAGCUAAAAAUUGUGAUUUUUCUUUUUCUGGACUUCAGCAUGUUGUUGGUAGGAUAAUAACACAAAAGGAAAAAGAGGAAGGGAUCCAAAAGGGGGAAAUCCUGGCUUCAGCUGCACACAUUGCCGCUGCGGUACAGCACGCGACAGCGUGCCACAUUGCAAAGAGAACUCACCGUGCCAUUCUGUUCUGCAAGCAGAGACGCUUGUUAUCUCCAAGUAAUGCAGUACUGGUUGUAUCUGGAGGUGUCGCGAGUAACUUAUACAUCCGAAAAGCUCUGGAAAUUGUAACAAAUGCAACAGAGUGCACUUUGUUGUGUCCUCCUCCCAGACUGUGCACUGACAACGGCAUUAUGAUUGCAUGAUGUCCUCUUGGAGUAGACAUAUCAGAAGAAGUUGGAGAAGCUGCCAUAAAAGCACCGCGGUUAAAAAUGGACAUUUGAUUUUUGCUUUUCAAAAAAAUCCCUAAAGAAACUUAAGCUCUGAUGGAACUCCAGCACUGAAGCAAAAUCCUGUGGAUAAAUUAAUGCCCAUCAGCCUUCGCCAUAACUGCAGGCACUGCAUCUGAUUUAGCCCUGUUUCUACCCUGGGAGUCUGGCCUAGCUUUGAAUGAAAUUCAAAGGUCUUUUAAACCUUUUUUGAUGAUGCCAAAGUCAUGGUGGUAUUCCUGGUUGGCUCAGGACUCUCAAGUAAUAUCCCAGAAGUGGUUUUCCAGAUCAGACUUGGAAGCAACCCCAGAAACCCCAGAAAGUUUUUCUGAAACAUGAAUAACUUGGCCAAAUGGGAUCCCCAAGAUUGCCUCCACAGGUAGUUUUGUUGCUAGAUCAGAAUUAAAACGGGCUUUGGUAGUGGACAUUUAGGGUGAGUUUUCUCUCUUGGUAUUCAUUCACACCAGGAAUAGCUAGCUCACCUUGUUUGAUCUCCCUUAAGCUUUCUUACAGGUUCUUCUAUCCAUAAUCUCACUACUGCAACUUCACAGAUACAGGCACAAUACCUUAAGGAAGGAAGUCCCACUCGUUGCUGCAUUUGAAAUUCCUUUAAAAAAGCUGGGUUGAUACUUGCAUCUCUGUUGAUAUUAUUUGUUAUACGGAGGAACUGGUUAGGCUUAGUUCUGCAUUCCUUUAGUAGGAUGCGGAAAGCAUUCGCGUUGUAAGUUAAGUAGCCGAGAGCACAGGAGCAAGCUGUGCGAACCUAAAUGAAGAAGCAAUUCAAUCCCUUCAUUGAGCUUUAUUCUUAAAAUAUCUAACAAACUGUUCUCACUAAACAGUUCAUUAGCCUCUGUAGCUAUGCCCAGCAAACAUGGAUGUCCACCCAUGGCAAUGUAUAGAUGGAAGCAGAACAGCUAUAUUUUUAGAGAAAGCUGUCAACUGCUGUUGGUUUCUAGUACUUGUUCUCAGUCCUGACUGCGUUUUAGAAUCACCAGCAGUUAAAAAAGAAAAAAGAAAAAAAGCCCACCAACUGUCUAUUGGUUAGAAUCUGGGCAUUCACAUGGUCUUUAAAAGUGCCAGAGGCAACUCCAGUAUGCAGCAGAGUAAGGACCAUUGAGUUGGAACUAAGGGUCUCAGUCUUGAUUGUGCAUUGGAAUCCCCUUGAUAGUUCCUAAAAUUACUCAGUGCCUGGGUUCCACCCCUAGAAACUCUUAAUUAUUUUGGCUGCAGCCUGGACACUAGAAUUUUUCAAAACUGCUCAGUAGCUUGUAAUAGGAAACCAGGCAAGAGACUAGAGGAUAAAAAUAAGGUAAAAA